CCUACGGGAGACUGCAGUGAGGACUAUUGGUCAAUGGGCUUACGCCUGAACCAGCCAAGUCGCGUGAGGGAAGACUGCCCUAUGGGUUGUAAACCUCUUUUGUCAGGGAGCAAUUGGCGCUACGUGUAGCGUUAUCUAGAGUACCUGAAGAAAAAGCAUCGGCUAACUCCGUGCCAGCAGCCGCGGUAAUACGGAGGAUGCGAGCGUUAUCCGGAUUUAUUGGGUUUAAAGGGUGCGUAGGCGGAAUGCCAAGUCAGCGGUAAAAUCGCGGGGCUCAACCUCGCUCCGCCGUUGAAACUGGCGUUCUUGAGUGGGCGAGAAGUAUGCGGAAUGCGUGGUGUAGCGGUGAAAUGCAUAGAUAUCACGCAGAACUCCGAUUGCGAAGGCAGCAUACCGGCGCCCAACUGACGCUGAAGCACGAAAGCGUGGGUAUCGAACAGGAUUAGAUACCCCUGUAGUC
rnacentral:rRNA from 1 species